rnacentral:rRNA from 1 species
AUUGAACGCUGGCGGCAGGCUUAACACAUGCAAGUCGAGCGGGGUGAUGGUGCUUGCACUAUCACUUAGCGGCGGACGGGUGAGUAAUGCUUAGGAAUCUGCCUAUUAGUGGGGGACAACAUCUCGAAAGGGAUGCUAAUACCGCAUACGUCCUACGGGAGAAAGCAGGGGAUCACUUGUGACCUUGCGCUAAUAGAUGAGCCUAAGUCGGAUUAGCUAGUUGGUGGGGUAAAGGCCUACCAAGGCGACGAUCUGUAGCGGGUCUGAGAGGAUAAGCCGCCACAAUGGGACUGAGACACGGCCCAGACUCCUACGGGAGGCAGCAGUGGGGAAUAUUGGACAAUGGGGGGAACCCUGAUCCAGCCAUGCCGCGUGUGUGAAGAAGGCCUUAUGGUUGUAAAGCACUUUAAGCGAGGAGGAGGCUCUUUUGGUUAAUACCCAAGAUGAGUGGACGUUACUCGCAGAAUAAGCACCGGCUAACUCUGUGCCAGCCGCCGCAGUAA